rnacentral:rRNA from 1 species
UGGGGAAUUGUUCGCAAUGGGCGCAAGCCUGACGACGCAACGCCGCGUGGAGGACGAAGAUCUUCGGGUCGUAAACUCCUUUCGAUCGGGACGAAUGGCCGGUGACCUAACACGUCAUCGGAGUGACGGUACCGAGAGAAGAAGCCCCGGCUAACUCCGUGCCAGCAGCCGCGGUAAUACGGGGGGGGCAAGCGUUGUUCGGAAUUACUGGGCGUAAAGGGCGCGUAGGCGGCCUACUAAGUCGGACGUGAAAUCCCUCGGCUCAACCGAGGAACUGCGUCCGAUACUGGCAGGCUGGAAUCCGGGAGAGGGAUGUGGAAUUCCAGGUGUAGCGGUGAAAUGCGUAGAUAUCUGGAGGAACACCGGUGGCGAAGGCGGCAUCCUGGACCGGUAUUGACGCUGAGGCGCGAAAGCUAGGGGAGCAAACGG